GUAGUAGUGUAGUGGCAGCAUCAUAGCCAAUGAGGUUAAUCUGAGAUGCGAUUAUUGCUAGUUGAAAUCUCUUAUUGAACCCACUUCUGUUGGUGAGAGAUCUGGAUAGGCGCUCUGAGUAAGUUUAAAGAAUGAGAGUACUUGUGGCACCUUAGAGACUAACAAAUUUAUUUGGGCAUAAG
rnacentral:snRNA from 1 species